ACGCUCGACACCUACGGGGGCAGCAGUCGGGAAUAUUGCGCAAUGGAGGAAACUCUGACGCAGUGACGCCGCGUGCAGGAAGAAGGUUUUCGGAUUGUAAACUGCUUUAGACAGGGAAGAACAAAUGACAGUACCUGUAGAAUAAGCUCCGGCUAACUACGUGCAAGCAGCCGCGGUAAUCUGAGCGGGCUGGCAAGGC
rnacentral:rRNA from 1 species